GACGAACGCUGACGGCGUGCUUAACACAUGCAAGUCGAAGGGAGUGGCGAACGGGUGAGUAACACGUGAGUAACCGGCCCUUUUCUUUGGGAUAAGCCUGGGAAACGGGGUCUAAUACGGGAAGGGUUGGGAUGGGCUCGCGGGUUAUCGGCUUGUUGGUGGGGUGAUGGCUUACCAAGGCUUUGACGGGUAGCCGGCCUGAGGGGGUGGUCGGUCACACUGGGACUGAGAUACGGCCCAGACUCCUACGGGAGGCAGCAGUGGGGGAUAUUGCACAAUGGACGCAAGUCUGAUGCAGCGACGCCGUGUGGGGGAUGAAGGCCUUCGGGUUGUAAAGUACUUUCAGCGGGGAGGCGUUACCCGCAGAAGAAGCACCGGCUAACUCCGUGCCAGCAGCCGCGGUAAUUC
rnacentral:rRNA from 1 species